UUUUUUUUUUUUCUUUUUUUCAUAUAGCUUAUUGGUUAAAGCCCCAGCUAGCAAAAGCAGGUGUGAUUUUCACCAAAAGCAGUGUAGAUGCAAGCAAAUCAAAAAGAUAUUCCAAAUAAUGGCUGUUAUACCUUGUGUGUUCUCCUGCCUACCUGACAAUAAAGGCAGAAUUCUACUUCAUUAAAAAGCUGCUCUGCUCACACCUGGGCAUCUUGGUAUUUUA